GUCGUAACAAGGUUUCCGUAGGUGAACCUGCGGAAGGAUCAUUACCUAGAGUUUGUGGACUUCGGUCUGCUACCUCUUACCCAUGUCUUUUGAGUACCUUCGUUUCCUCGGCGGGUCCGCCCGCCGGUUGGACAACAUUCAAACCCUUUGCAGUUGCAAUCAGCGUCUGAAAAAACUUAAUAGUUACAACUUUCAACAACGGAUCUCUUGGUUCUGGCAUCGAUGAAGAACGCAGCGAUAUGCGAUAAGUAGUGUGAAUUGCAGAAUUCAGUGAAUCAUCGAAUCUUUGAACGCACAUUGCGCCCCUUGGUAUUCCAUGGGGCAUGCCUGUUCGAGCGUCAUUUGUACCUUCAAGCUCUGCUUGGUGUUAGGUGUUUUGUCUCGCCUCCGCGCGCAGACUCGCCUUAAAACAAUUGGCAGCCGGCGUAUUGAUUUCGGAGCGCAGUACAUCUCGCGCUUUGCACUCAUAACGACGACGUCCAAAAGUACAUUUUUACACUCUUGACCUCGGAUCAGGUAGGGAUACCCGCUGAACUUAAGCAUAUCA
rnacentral:rRNA from 1 species